rnacentral:rRNA from 1 species
UACGAAGGGGGCUAGCGUUGUUCGGAAUUACUGGGCGUAAAGCGCACGUAGGCGGGCUAUUAAGUCAGGGGUGAAAUCCCGGGGCUCAACCCCGGAACUGCCUUUGAUACUGGUAGUCUCGAGUCCGGAAGAGGUGAGUGGAAUUCCGAGUGUAGAGGUGAAAUUCGUAGAUAUUCGGAGGAACACCAGUGGCGAAGGCGGCUCACUGGUCCGGUACUGACGCUGAGGUGCGAAAGCGUGGGGAGCAAACAGG